CCCGCACCGACGAGACCAGCGGAAAAGCAACGCCCCGUCCGUCCCGCCCCAAAAGUUGCGCGCAGCACGAGCGGGAAUGGCCGGCGCAGCGGCGGUGGCCUCCUUGGCCGCGGUGGCGGCGGGGUGGCUCGACCUCGACGGGCCGACGGCGACGGCGACCCUGCGCCGGUGGUGGCCGUCGUCGUCGUCGUCGGGCGGUGGCCGCGUGUUCGCCGCCGGGCCGUCGUCCCCGCUGCAGGUUUGGGCACAUAUGCAGGUGUACAAGCUUUCCAUCGGCGCAGCGUGCGGGCUGGCAUGGCCGUCGGAUAGGGUCAUUGUACAGGUUCUCGACGAUUCCACCGAUCCAACGGUCAAGGAUCUAGUGGAGCUUGAGUGCAAGUUUUGGGCUAACAAAGGUAAAAACGUGAAGUAUGAGGUGAGGAACAAUCGGAAAGGGUACAAGGCUGGUGCACUGAAGCAAGGGAUGCUGUAUGACUAUGUUCAGCAGUGUGACUUUGUCGCCGUGUUUGAUGCGGAUUUCCAACCGGAACCUGACUUCCUCAUAAGGACCGUCCCGUAUCUUGUGCAUGAUCCACGAGUUGCACUUGUUCAGGCACGAUGGGAGUUUGUUAAUCCCAAUGAAUUCCUGAUGACAAGGAUACAAAAGAUGACAUUAGAUUAUCACUUCAAAGUAGAGCAGGAAGCAGGUUCAUCCAUGUUUGCCUUCUUUGGUUUUAACGGAACUGCUGGUGUCUGGCAAAUUUCUUCCGUCAAGGAAGCCGGGGGCUGGGAGGAUCGAACCACAGUGGAAGACAUGGAUUUAGCCGUCAGAGUAGGUCUUAAAGGAUGGAAAUUCAUCUACGUCGGAGAUGUUAAGGUCAAAAGUGAACUGCCAAGCAAUCUGAAGGCAUAUCGCCGUCAACAGCAUCGGUGGACGUGUGGGGCAGCAAAUUUAUUCCGCAAGACAGGAAGAGAGAUUAUGCUGACUAAGGAGGCUUCAUUUGGGAGGAACCUUUAUUUGAUCUACAGCUUCUUUUUCAUCAGGAAGGUUGUUGCCCAUGUAGUACCUUUCAUGCUCUACUGUGUAGUAAUCCCAUUGUCCGUCCUGAUUCCUGAAGUCAGAGUCCCUGUAUGGGGGGUGGUUUAUAUCCCAACAGCAAUAACACUUCUAUAUGCCAUCAGAAAUCCUAGCCUUUUGCUUUCAGUUCUAUCCACUUCAUACCGUUCUGGAUCCUCUUUGAGAAUGUUAUGUCUUUCCACCGGACGAAGGCGACAUUCAUCGGUUUGCUUGAGCUCGGGAGUGUAAACGAGUGGGUUGUCACAGAGAAGCUUGGUAAUUCAAGCUGCACCAAGCCUGCCCCGCAGAUACUUGAAAAGCCUCCCUGCAGGUGCUGGGACAGAUGCACCAUAUCAGAGAUUUUGGUUGCAAUCUUCCUUUUCUUCUGUGCGACCUACAACUUGGUUCAUGGAAGCGAUUUCUAUUUCGUUUACAUAUAUCUACAGGCUAUAACAUUUCUUAUUGUUGGCACCGGAUUCUGCGGAACAUCCAGAUCCAACUCAUAGCGCUAUCUACAACAGUUAGACUGAUCCAAACGGAGGAAAUUGUUCAAGUUAGAUCAUGAACUCGUGAUGACUAUUAACCUCAUUGCACUGUCAGGCAUACUGUGAAAGCAACGGAUGCCUCUAUCUAUCUCUCCUCCAUCUUCUAUCUUCUUUUUUCUGGAAAAAGGAUUGCAGGAAUAAUGUACUACAUAGUAUGUAGCUUGUGAUCUUCACACUUCUAGUCUUUUCACUAUUUAUUUCGAAUCCAGACUCUAAUUUUCAUGACAAGGCUGAAGUUUUGAAAUGAGUAACGUUGACAACAGUCAUUUGUAGUG